rnacentral:rRNA from 1 species
UACGUAGGGUGCAAGCGUUGUCCGGAAUUAUUGGGCGUAAAGAGCUCGUAGGCGGUUUGUCGCGUCUGCUGUGAAAACUCGGGGCUCAACUCCGAGCUUGCAGUGGGUACGGGCAGACUAGAGUGCGGUAGGGGAGACUGGAAUUCCUGGUGUAGCGGUGGAAUGCGCAGAUACCAGGAGGAACACCGGUGGCGAAGGCGGGUCUCUGGGCAGUAACUGACGCUGAGGAGCGAAAGCGUGGGUAGCAAACAGG